UUCAAAGGAUGAUGAGCAUUAUUCAGAAAGACUAGCCUUAAAGGAACAGGUACCAAGCACCAUCUAGCAGAAACACUGACUUACAAACUGCCUGGAAGUGCUUGACUGCCAAUAUUUGUGAUACAUGUAAAUUGAUAUGGGAGGGACUCAUUAAACUCUUAACAACAACAGUCUGGCCUCUGAGAUUGCUUUGCAGGAUGUCCUUUAUAAUUGAUAUGAUCUGUAAAGUCAUGAUAAGAUCUCCAGAAAUGUACCAUUCAGUCUUGCAGAUGGCUAUGACUCACAGCAGUCUGGUAUCUAUUGCCAUUGUCCUCUAUUCAUACUAAGCAGGUGAGCUGAAAUCACUAGAUAUGUAGGAUUAUUCUGAGGUAAGAUUGGAUCCUUCUUGAAAAAGACAAUGACAAAUUGGCCUGCAUGUUGCAGAGACCGAUUGACUUGCACUUACACGCCUGGCCUUGUCUGCAACCUCAUUUUCCCUGCCUAUCACGUGCAAUAACAUCCUUUGUAAUUGAGAAAACCAGCAGGAUUCUGAAUGUCAGCCUUAUCUAAAAUACUGCAGUUUAGCAAUGAUGGAUUGGCUGUCUUCUGGUGCAGGUGCAUGCGUGUGUAUAAACACACAGGCGAGGCUUGGAUAUCACGCAGAACAAAAAUAUAAAUGCAACAUGUAAAGUGUUGGUCCCAUGUUUUAUGAGCUGAAAUAUAAGAUCCCAUAAAUGUUCCAUACACACAAAGCGUUUCUCUUAAAUGCUGUGCACAAAUAUGUUUACGUCCCUGUUAAUUAGUAUUUCUCCUUUGCCAAGAUAGUCCAUCCACCUGACAGGUAUGGCAUAUUAAGAAGAUGAUUAAACCUGCAUGAUCAUUACAGUGUCACCUUGUGCUGGGGACAAUAAAAGGCCACUCUAAAAUGUGCAGUUUUGUCAAACAACACAAUGCCACUGAUGUCUCAAGUUUGCAGGAACAUCCACCAGUGCUGUUGCCAGGGAAUUGAAUGUAUAUUUCUCUACCAUAAGCUGCCUCAAACGUCAUUUUAGAGAAUUUUUGCAGUAUGUCCAACCAGCCUCACAACCACAGACCAUGAGUAACCACGCCACCACAUCCGGCUUCUUCACUUGCGGGAUCGUCUGAGACCAGCAACCCAGACAGCUAAUGAUACUGGGUGUAUGAAACUGAGUGCUUGCACAACCAACCAAGAAUUUCUGCACAAACUGUCAGAAACAGUCCCCGGGUAACUCAUCUACAUGCUCG
rnacentral:lncRNA from 13 species